rnacentral:rRNA from 1 species
AUUGAACGCUGGCGGCAGGCCUAACACAUGCAAGUCGAACGAGUGGCGGACGGGUGUGUAAUGUCUGGGAACCUGCCCGAUGGCGGGGGAUAACUACUGGAAACGGUAGCUAAUACCGCAUACUUUCGGAUGUGCCAAGAUGGGAUUAGCUAGUAGGUGGGGUAACGGCUCACCUAGGCGAAGAUCCCUAGCUGGUCUGAGAGGAUGACCAGCCACACUGUAACUGAGACACGGUCCAGACUCCUACGGGAGGCAGCAGUGGGGAAUAUUGCACAAUGGGCGCAAGCCUGAUGCAGCCAUGCCGCGUGUAUGAAGAAGGCCUUCGGGUUGUAAAGUACUUUCAGCGAGGAGGCGUUACUCGCAGAAGAAGCACCGGCUAACUCCGUGCCAGCAGCCGCGGUAAUUC